rnacentral:rRNA from 1 species
UACGUAGGGGGCUAGCGUUGUCCGGAAUCAUUGGGCGUAAAGAGCGCGUAGGCGGCUAGAUAAGUCCGGUGUGAAAGUCACAGGCUCAACCUGUGAAUGCCGCUGGAAACUGUCUGGCUAGAGUCCGGAAGGGGCGAGUGGAAUUCCUGGUGUAGCGGUGAAAUGCGCAGAUAUCAGGAGGAACACCAGUAGCGAAGGCGGCUCGCUGGGCCACACCUGACGCUGAGACGCGAAAGCUAGGGGAGCGAACAGG